rnacentral:rRNA from 1 species
UACGUAGGGCGCAAGCGUUAUCCGGAAUUAUUGGGCGUAAAGAGCUCGUAGGCGGUUUGUCGCGUCUGCCGUGAAAGUCCGGGGCUCAACUCCGGAUCUGCGGUGGGUACGGGCAGACUAGAGUGCAGUAGGGGAGACUGGAAUUCCUGGUGUAGCGGUGAAAUGCGCAGAUAUCAGGAGGAACACCGAUGGCGAAGGCAGGUCUCUGGGCUGUAACUGACGCUGAGGAGCGAAAGCAUGGGGGAGCGAACAGG